rnacentral:sRNA from 1 species
CCGUUUCAAUUUGCUGCGGGCAAAUAAAGUGGAUGUGGGCAUCAAUGCCGCCGGCGGUGACAAUUUUCCCCUCCGCUGCAAUGACUUCCGUCGAAGCACCGAUGACGAUGUUGACAUUGUCCAUCAGGAGCGGAUUUCCUGCUUUGCCGAUCGCCGCAAUCAAGCCGUCCUUAACGCCUAUAUCUGCUUUGUAAAUACCUGUGUAAUCUAAAACAAUCGCAUUGGUCAGUACAAGGUCAACGGAUUCCGCACGCGUAGCAAGUGGGUGCUGCCCCAUGCCAUCCCGG